GGGCCUGCCCAGUGAUAUUUCAACGGCCGCGGUACUCUGACCGUGCAAAGGUAGCAUAAUCAUUUGCCCUAUAAUUAAGGGCUAGUAUGAACGGUCUAACAAGAAUGGAACUGUCUCUUUUAAAAUCCUUAGAAUUUGGUCUUUAGGUGAAGAAACCUAAAUUAUAUUGAUAGACAAGAAGACCCUAUCGAGCUUUAAAACAAUUAGUUAAACAAAUAGAUAACACUAACUUUAGCUAAAAAUUUUGGUUGGGGCGACUAAGGAACAAACAAAGCUUCCUUAAUAAAUUCUACACUAAUAAGUAAUGAUCCAAAAUAUUUGAUUAAUAAAAUUAGUUACCGUAGGGAUAACAGCAUAAUCUUCUUUAAGAGUUCUUAUCGAAAAGAAUGUUUGUGACCUCGAUGUUGGACUAGGAUAUCCAAAAGAUGCAGAAGUCUUUAAAGGUUGGUCUGUUCGACCAAUAAAAUCCUACGUGAUCUAUCU
rnacentral:rRNA from 1 species